GCCGGAGACCCAGUGCCAAUAACAGCGUGUGAGACUCGGAUCAAAGGCCGCCUGGAGUAACGGGAAAACGGCUCCGAGCUCCGCAAGCCGAGGGGGAGGGCUGGGGAGCUUUGUGGCGCCAUGUGGAAACCAGAAUUCCCACAUUCCAUGGCAUCAGCGGCCGGAGCUGAGCCAAUCUGAAGCCAGGAGCUGCCUCCCGGUGUUCCACUUCCACGUGAGUGCAGGGGCCCAAGGACUUGGGCCAUCCUCCCUGUUUCCCCGGGCACGUCAGCAGGGAGCUGGGUUGGAAGUGGAGCCCCCAGGACUCAAAGCGGUGCCCAGAAGGGUCUACACGUGGUGUCCGUUACAUCUUAUUCCACCAUUGAUAAUCAACAGAAAGAGGAGGGUUAUUUGACAUCACAAUGGAACGACGGGCUUGCCUCUGA